UAGAGUUUGAUCCUGGCUCAGAUUGAACGCUCGCGGCAUGCUUUACACAUGCAAGUCGAACGGCAGCGCGGGCUUCGGCCUGGCGGCGAGUGGCGAACGGGUGAGUAAUAUAUCGGAACGUACCCAGAAGUGGGGGAUAACGUAGCGAAAGUUACGCUAAUACCGCAUACGAUCUACGGAUGAAAGUGGGGGACCGCAAGGCCUCAUGCUUUUGGAGCGGCCGAUAUCUGAUUAGCUAGUUGGUAGGGUAAUGGCCUACCAAGGCGACGAUCAGUAGCUGGUCUGAGAGGACGACCAGCCACACUGGAACUGAGACACGGUCCAGACUCCUACGGGAGGCAGCAGUGGGGAAUUUUGGACAAUGGGGGCAACCCUGAUCCAGCAAUGCCGCGUGAGUGAAGAAGGCCUUCGGGUUGUAAAGCUCUUUUGUCAGGGAAGAAACGGCUGAGGCUAAUAUCCUCGGCUAAUGACGUACCGAGAUA
rnacentral:rRNA from 1 species